AGGGGCUUAGGAUAACAUUAAACCAAGGGCCUUCAAAGCCCUAAACGGGAGUGAAAACCUCCCAGCCUCUG
rnacentral:tRNA from 1 species